UACGUAGGCAGCGAGCGUUGUUCGGAAUUACUGGGCGUAAAGAGUGCGUAGGCGGUGCUCUAAGUCUGGUGUGAAAUCUCCCGGCUCAACUGGGAGGGUGCGCUAGAAACUGGAGUGCUAGAGUGUGGGAGAGGUAAGCGGAAUUCCUGGUGUAGCGGUGAAAUGCGUAGAUAUCAGGAGGAACACCUGUGGUGUAGACAGCUUACUGGACCACUUCUGACGCUG
rnacentral:rRNA from 1 species